AGGACUAACGCUGGCGGCGUGCCUAACACAUGCAAGUCGAACGAAGUAGCAAUACUUAGUGGCAGACGGGUGAGUAACACGUAGUCAACCUGCCCUUCAAUGGGGGAUAACUAGCCGAAAGGUUAGCUAAUACCGCAUACGAUCUCUGAGUGGCAUCACUCGGCGAUGAAAGGAGUAAUCCGUUGAAGGAGGGGACUGCGUCCCAUUAGUUAGUUGGUGGGGUAAUGGCCUACCAAGACUCCGAUGGGUAGCUGGCUUGAGAGAGCGACCAGCCACACUGGAACUGAGACACGGUCCAGACUCCUACGGAGGCAGCAGUGAGGAAUUUUUCCGCAAUGGGGGAAACCCUGACGGAGCGACGCCGCGUGUGGGAAGAAGGCCUUCGGUCGUAAACCACUGUCGAGGGGACGAUAUUGACGGUACCCCUGGAGGAAGCCCCGGCUAACUACGUGCCAGCAGCCGC
rnacentral:rRNA from 1 species